CCUACGGGCGGCUGCAGUGAGGAAUAUUGGUCAAUGGCCGCGAGGCUGAACCAGCCAAGUAGCGUGAAGGAUGACGGCCCUAUGGGUUGUAAACCUCUUUUGUAGGGGAGUAAAGAGAAUCAUGUAUGGCGCAUUGCGUGUACCCGAAGAAAAAGCAUCGGCUAACUCCGUGCCAGCAGCCGCGGUAAUACGGAGGAUGCGAGCGUUAUCCGGAUUUAUUGGGUUUAAAGGGAGCGUAGAUGGGUUGUUAAGUCAGUUGUGAAAGUUUGCGGCUCAACCGUAAAAUUGCAAUUGAUACUGGCAUUCUUGAGUACAGUUGAGGUAGGCGGAAUUCGUGGUGUAGCGGUGAAAUGCUUAGAUAUCACGAAGAACUCCGAUUGCGAAGGCAGCUUACUAAACUGCCACUGACACUGAUGCUCGAAAGUGUGGGUAUCAAACAGGAUUAGAUACCCUAGUAGUC
rnacentral:rRNA from 1 species